rnacentral:rRNA from 1 species
AUGAUCCGUAACUAUUUCUGGGGUUCAGAGAAGGGGAAGCGUAAAACGCAUUGGUAUGCUUGGGAGAAAAUGCUGCGAGCAAAAGCACAAGGGGGGCUUGGCUUUAGGGAUUUCAGACUUUUUAAUCAAGCUUUACUUGCAAGGCAAGUGUGGAGACUGCUGAUCCACCCUGAUAGUCUGUGUGCAAGGUUGCUAAAGAAAUACUACCUGAAUGGGAGGCUAGAGGAUACUGUCUUUUCGGAUAAUCCCUCUCAGUCAUGGCAAGGGGUCUGUCAUGGGCUUGAGUUGCUGAAGAAAGGGCUUGUGUGGCGCAUAGCGAAUGGCCAGAACAUGAGAAUAUGGCAUGACCAAUGGUUAAUGAGAGGCAAUACAAACUUGCUUCUGUCCAGAAGAGGCCAGUGUCGCCUAACAUGGGUGGCUGAGUUACUUGAUCAUAAUGGCAACUGGGAUUUUCAAAAGCUCCAACAAUUCUUCUUACCGGCUGAUGUUGCACAAAUUUGCAAGAUAAAACCUUCGCCACGGCUUGGGGAGGAUUUUCUGGCGUGGGCGCCUGAGAGGAGCGGAGUUUUCACAGUUAAGAGCGCUUAUUGGCUUGCUGCACAUGAAAUGCUACAACCAUCGAUCCCUUCGUCGAGCUCUGGUGCGGACAGUAGCAGGGAAGUGUGGAAGCAUGUCUGGUCUUGUUCGGCCCCGCCUAAGGUUAAGUCAUUUGCAUGGCGUUUAGCAACGAACUCUCUGGCGACGUGGAAGAACAAGAAGUGGCGAACCUUGGAGGAACGGGACACUUGCCCAGUCUGUGGUAGAGAAGUUGAGGACGCGUUUCAUGUGUUUUGUGUAUGUGAGAAUGCUUAG